CCUACGGGUGGCUGCAGUGGGGAAUAUUGGACAAUGGGGGGAACCCUGAUCCAGCCAUGCCGCGUGUGUGAAGAAGGCCCUCGGGUUGUAAAGCACUUUCAGUGAGGAAGAACGCCUGGUGGUUAAUACCCAUCAGGAAAGACAUCACUCACAGAAGAAGCACCGGCUAACUCCGUGCCAGCAGCCGCGGUAAUACGGAGGGUGCGAGCGUUAAUCGGAAUUACUGGGCGUAAAGCGCGCGUAGGUGGCUUGAUAAGCCGGUUGUGAAAGCCCCGGGCUCAACCUGGGAACGGCAUCCGGAACUGUCAAGCUAGAGUGCAGGAGAGGAAGGUAGAAUUCCCGGUGUAGCGGUGAAAUGCGUAGAGAUCGGGAGGAAUACCAGUGGCGAAGGCGGCCUUCUGGACUGACACUGACACUGAGGUGUGAAAGCGUGGGUAGCAAACAGGAUUAGAUACCCGAGUAGUC
rnacentral:rRNA from 1 species